GAUGAACGCUAGCGGGAGGCCUAACACAUGCAAGCCGAGCGGUAUUUCUUCUUCGGGAGAGAGAGAGCGGCGUACGGGUGCGGAACACGUGUGCAACCUGCCUUUAUCUAGAGGAUAGCCUUUCGAAAGGGAGAUUAAUACUCUAUAAUAUAUUAAUUGGCAUCAAUUGAUAUUGAAAACUCCGGUGGAUAGAGAUGGGCACGCGCAAGAUUAGCUAGUUGGUGAGGUAACGGCUCACCAAGGCAAUGAUCUUUAGGGGGCCUGAGAGGGUGAUCCCCCACACUGGUACUGAGACACGGACCAGACUCCUACGGGAGGCAGCAGUGAGGAAUAUUGGUCAAUGGGUGCAAGCCUGAACCAGCCAUCCCGCGUGAAGGAUUAAGGUCCUAUGGAUUGUAAACUUCUUUUGUAUAGGGAUAAACCUACCCUCGUGAGGGUAGCUGAAGGUACUAUACGAAUAAGCACCGGCUAACUCCGUGCCAGCCGCCGCGGUAAGAC
rnacentral:rRNA from 1 species